rnacentral:lncRNA from 1 species
CUGGUAACACCCAUCCCUCUCCACAAACAUAGCUGUUUGUGUAGUGGACUCGUGGCUGUCCCUCCCAGACUGUGACCUCUGGAGAGCAGAGCCUGGAGUCCCGUGGCACUGUCCCUGGCUGCACGCUCCUCGUGGCUGGACUAGCGGCUCAGGAAGGACUCAGGGAGGGUUUUACCAAUACAGGAGCCUUAGGUGACUUUCCUGAGUCCACCCCGUGAGACUAUGACGUGGGACCAGCACGGUGGUCCCCCAGCACUCAGAGCUAGGAUACGAAAAUGUCCGUUAAGUGAAUGAAUGCGUGAACACAGGGUUGCAUGAGUAUCAUCCGCAGAACCAAGAGAUGAUAAGUGCUCCUUCCUGGGCUUCCCUGUGGCUCAGCAGUAAAAAAUCCUCCUGCCAACACAGGAGACACGGGUUCGAUCCCUGGUCCGGGAAGAUUCCACACGCCGUGGAGCAACGUGCAGAGCCUGUGUGCCACCACUACUGAGCCUGCGCUCCAGAGCCCUGCAACAGGGGAGCCACCACAAUGAGAAACUCCCGCUCCGCAAGGAAGAGUAGCCUCCACUCGCUGCAACCAGAGAAAAGCCUGCGUCGCCGUGAAGACCCAGCACAACCAAAAAGAAAUAAACACCUUAAACGUCCAUACAGCCACAGGCUCACACCGACUUCAAGAUCAUUCCGAAAAUGCAGUUUCUGUGUACGAGAUGGGGCUCUGUGGUCCGGAGCCACAACCACGUGCCUCAGCCAUCUGACAGCGUUGGCUUCCGUGCCAGGUUCCAGACCCUGGAGAAAAGGGCUCAGAAAUGCCCGACAAAGCCCUCCCACCAGGCUCCAGGCCCCGCCUCCAACAGGACUUCUUCCCGGGGAAUCGCAUCUCUGUUAGGAUGCAGCACCUGAGGUCCGGCGGUGGGGAGAGGGUGGGCCUGCGGACCUACUGCUCCUUGCAGUGUUGAGAGGUCUCUGCCCAUCUCUGUGUCCAUCAUUAGAAAGUGAAAGUGAAAGCCGCUCAGUCGUGUCCGACUCUUUGCGACCCCACUGACUGUAGAGUCUGUGGAAUCCUCCAGGCCAGAAUACAGGAUUGGGUAGCUGUUCCCUUCUCCAGGGGAUCUUCCCAACCCAGGGAUCGAACCCGCCGUGUUGCAGGCGGAUUCUUUACCAGCUGAGCCACGAGGGAAGCACCCAUCAUGAGGCAACUCCUAUUCAUCCAUAGUGUGCUAGGCCGAGCACCCCAUCGUCAGGGAAGCUUUCUCGGAAUGCCCUG